AAGGCAACGAUCGGUAGCCGGACUGAGAGGUUGAACGGCCACAUUGGGACUGAGACACGGCCCAGACUCCUACGGGAGGCAGCAGUGGGGAAUAUUGCACAAUGGAGGAAACUCUGAUGCAGCGACGCCGCGUGAAGGAAGAAGGUCUUCGGAUUGUAAACUUCUGUUCUUAGUGAAGAUAGUGACGGUAGCUAAGGGGCAAGCCACGGCUAACUAC
rnacentral:rRNA from 1 species